GGCCAGGAUAGAAGGUGCUGAGGGUGAUGGUGAAGCCCUCCAACUGCAUCUUCAGAUAUUGGAAAAUGGAUCUUAAGAUUCAGGCAUGGAUGUAUGAGCAAGUGAACACAGGUUUGUUAUUGACUUUGAUGAAAGCGUGAACAUUAUAUUAGAUGAUGCAGAGAAGAUUCAUUCUAAAACAAUGUCAAGAAAACUGGAUUAGGUGAUAAUAAGAGGAGAUACUAUCACUCAGCUACAAAUGUUUUCA
rnacentral:lncRNA from 1 species